rnacentral:lncRNA from 1 species
UAAUGAUGCAGAGGAAUGACUGCCAAGCCCUUGGUAAUGAAGGGCUGGCAGGGAAUGGAUUAUGUUUUAAGAACCAGUCUCUGGGCUCCUAUGAUUGUAGCUGGAAGGUUUUCUCUGGGCUUUGGGUAAGACUAGUCCUCAGAUUUAUCCUACUCUUCAGACGUCUACCUUCUAUCACCAGAAUCUGAGAUUUGGAGCAUUAGAGGCUUUGGCUGGUCAUCCCAAUACUGGAGGCUCUGACAGAUGUCCAUUAUGGGGUUUGAACUCUUCCAGGAUAGGAUACACACUACUUUGUGAAGACAUCUGAGCCACUUUUGGAAAGUUUUCAUCCUCAGGAAGUUCUUUCUUAUAUUGAGAUAGAAUCCACCACUCUGUGACUUUGAUGCAUUGACCCAGUUUUAUAAUAGUUCUCAAGAGCUGGCCAGCAGUUUUCCCAGGUUCCAAUAUCCAGACAUAUAAAGAAGGCUGACCUCGUUGUCCCCUGUCCCCACUUCUCUCUAUAUCUCAUGCCUGGUCAUUAAUAUUUUGACUACAUACUAGACAGACUGACUCUUGCUUUCUCCCUAGUGUGUUUUCAUGAUGGGCUUAACAUCUUCAUUUCAAUAUCAUCUUUUAAGAUAUUGCUAAAAAGAUGCUUUUUUAAAGGAAAAUGUGUUCCAAGGAAGCAAAUGCUCCCCUGUACACCUCACUCCAUCAGGUUAUCCCCAUGCAACUAAGGGAUGUAACCUGGAUCUCUACUUUCUUCUUUCUCAGGGUGUUUAUACUCCCAUCCUUCCUUAGUACCUCUGUAGCCACAAGCCACUCUUGCUGAGAGGCUAUAUCCACUUGCAUCCUUUGGGUAUACUGUCUAUAAAAUUUGAAGACUACUUUUCUAGAACAAAGUAAGCUUGCUCUCUCUUCCUGGUUCCAACUUCCUACAUUUCUCUGGUUUUUGUCACCCUCCACUCCUGAUUGUUCCAGGCUACAUGGGUCCAGGGCUCACCCUUCCUACAACUGAUAUGAUACUAAUUUACAUGGCUUCUUACUAGAAUGUUUAGCCCUGGAAAUGCAGGGAUUUUGUCUCUUUUCUUUCCUGGUCUGUCCUCAAAGUUAAUAACUCUUUGUUGAAUGACUGACUGGUUUUCAAGAUACAGAAAACCACAUUUUCAUCUCUUACACACUGUACUAAAAAUCCAGAGACUAAACAAGAAGGUAAACAAUAAACAAGAAGGCCCAUUGUCCACAGAACUGUCUUUUUCUUUUUUAAGAUUUUAUUUAUUUAUUCAUGAGAGACAGACAGAGAGAGAGGGGCAGAGACACAGGCAGAAAGAGGAGCAGGGUCCAUGCAGGGAGCCCAGUGUGGGACUCGAUCCCAGGUUUCCAGGAUCAGGCUCUGGGCUGAAGGCGACGUUAAACUGCUGAGCCACCCGGGCUACCCCUGGAACUGUCUUAUUUAUCAUACUUAUUAGAUAUUAGGAAAACAAUGUCAAGGCCAAAUUUCAAGCAGCAGCAAAUUAAGUAAGCAGCAAAGCCGGGUUAGCCCCUCAAGCUUGAGCACCCCUUGCCUCAUAUGCUCUCAUGCCAGCUUCACUCAUCAUGUGACCUCAAUCCAGUAGAAAGCUCAUACUCACAGAGCACUGUAGGAUCUUGCCCACUGCUGCCAGACCAACCACAAUCUUCCACAGCUCUGUCCAUAAAUAGUCAUGAGAUCAAAACAUAUACCUACUGAACUUGGUACCUUGAUAACUAGGAGAAUGUUCUAGGCUCUCUCUCUCUAAACACUCUUCAAACUCUGCUUCUACAUUUACUAUUCUUUUUAAAUUUUUAUUUAUUUAUGAUAGUCACACACACACAGAGAGAGGCAGAGACACAGGCACAGGGAGAAGCAGGCUCCAUGCACCGGGAGCCCGAUGUGGGACUCGAUCCCGGGUCUCCAGGAUCACGCCCUGGGCCAAAGGCAGGUGCCAAACCGCUGCGCCACCCAGGGAUCCCCUACAUUUACUAUUUUUGUUAAAUCACCUCUCAGCCUUAAAACCUAUAGGCCCCCAUGUCCUCCAAAAUCAAGUCUGAACUUCUCUACUUGGUUUUCAAGAUUCUUCAUCAUCUGCCCCAUCUUACUUCUCCAACCUAAUUUCUCAUUACUCUUCAGUGCAUACUUCCUCCCACUAUCUCUGGUCAGGCCACAUUGUUUACUAUCUCCUUUGUGCUUUGCUUGCUCCUUUUUCAAUAAACCUUUUCCUGUUAAUAUCCCAAAUAGAUUCAUGCUUUCUUUUUUUUAUUAUUAAAUAGACUAUUUUUAGAGAAGCUUUAUGUUCACAGCAAAAUUGACAGAAAGUAAAGAGAUUUCAUAUCCCCCAGCCCAACACAUGCACAAUCUCCUCCACAAUCUACAUCCCCUGCCAAAGUGAUACAUUCCCUACAGCCAACGAAUCUACAUUGGAACAUCAUUAUCACCAAAGUUCACAGUUUACAUGAGGGUUCCUUCUUGGUGUUAUAAAUUCUGUGAGUUUGGACAGAUGUAUGAUAACAUGUAUCUGCCAUUAUAAUAUCAUAGAGAAUAGGUCCACUGUCCUGAAAGUACUCUGUGCUCUGCAUGUUCCUUUUAUCAUUCUAUUUUCUACCCCAUUCAUCACAGAUAGUGAAAUUUCUUCACAAAGCCUUUCCGAGUGACUAGAGUCCACACUGAUCUCUCCUUUCCCAGGCCUCCUCCUGCACCCAUAGGCAAAACCACUCUUGACUUUUGUAUCUUUCCACAUUAGCUCUGUCCUUGUAACUAGAGUGUAAGUUCCUACUUAGACUUCCCCUUAGCCUGGCCUAUGUUAGGAGUUCUAUAAGCAGAGCUACCAUAUUGCAUAGAGAGUAUAAGCAUAUUCUUAUAUUCUAUGAAAAUGGGGUCUCUGGAGUUAUGCAAUGCCAGAGCCCUGUUCACAGUCCUUCGUGAUUGAAUAAAACCCAACCUAGGACCUGAAAAAGAAAUAAUGAUCUUUAUCAUGAUUUAGUUCAGUUCUUUAGGUGAUUAUUGAGUAGAUACUAUGCACUAACCACCAAUAUAAAAAUGAAAAAACAAACGUGAUCCUGCACUCAAAGGAAUUACAGCCUUGUGACAGAAAGGUAAGUAAAUAGAUCACAAUGUGAACACUGCUAAGAUAUGAGUGUAUAUAAAGAACAUAGCACUUGAUAUGUGGUUUGAAGACUCGGCAGGAAUUUGCCAGGUCAAUAAGUGUAGGGAGGGCACUCGGCAUAAUGGGUCAGUAUUGGAAAAAUGAAAGUACAUGGCAUAUGUAGAGACUUGCAAGUGAUACAGUUCAUUUCUUGAUGAUAAACUCAGAGGCCCAUUGGUUAAAUGACUGCCUGUGGUCCUACAUAAACCCAAAGAGGUCAUUGGCGCAAUGUGGCUGUGUGCUCACUCUGUUUACUGCUUCUGGAAUUAGGAAUAAAAGUACAAAGCCCUAUGCUGCUUAGCCAUCUCUUGCUCUUCUGAGGACUGGAUAGGAUAAGCCCAAGAGCCCGGGUAUAUUUUUUCAUUAACACUAGCUUGUGUUGCUUUGUGCACAAUAGGGUAUAGCAUUCAAGCGGAAAGGUUAGAUCCAUCAGAACCCUCCCUGGACAGCCUCCGGAAUGGUCAGCAGUUCUCUGCAGGCUUUCUUUGAAAGCUUGAACUGUUUAGACCUACCUCAUAAACUAUUUCUUCUUUCUUCUUCUUCAUCCUCCUCCUUCUCAUCAUUGUCCUCAUCUUCCUCCAUCUUCUUCCUUCUUCUUUCUCUGCCUCU